GGGCAGUGAAGCUUCUGGCUCCCGCGCCGCCGCCAUGAUCAUCCCCGUGCGCUGCUUCACGUGCGGCAAGAUCGUCGGCAACAAGUGGGAGGCCUACCUGGGGCUGCUGCAGGCCGAGUACACCGAAGGUCACUACCUUACUUGUCCGAGUCUACUCUAGACGAGUCCGACCUUCGGUCCUUGUGUGGACAGCCCCGUCCUUAGCAAAGUUUGAAUCUCUGGGACCCGGAGUGUGCCAGCCAGGGACGCCCUGGAUGCGCUGGGCCUGAAGCGCUACUGCUGCCGCCGCAUGCUGCUCGCCCACGUGGACCUGAUCGAGAAGCUGCUCAACUACGCGCCCCUGGAGAAGUGACCCCGAAAUGCCACAGGCGGUGUCUCACCCAUGGCUUGUUCCCCUGGGGGGUGGGGCGCUGAAAGCCAUGCCUGCCCACGGCUCUGUUGGCAUGGGUCUUCCUCUCUGGAAAUAACUGUCCAGUAAAUGUUGCUGAGGACUGCCAGGA